GACGAACGCUGGCGGCGUGGAUUAGGCAUGCAAGUCGAACGGUAUCAUCCUUUCGGGGGUGAGAGAGUGGCGAACUGGUGAGUAACACGUAGGUUAUCUACCCUCAAGACGGGGACAACCCAGGGAAACUUGGGCUAAUACCGGAUGUGAGCAACUUUUUAGUUGUUUGAAAGGUGGCGUAAGCUGUCGCUUGGGGAUGAGCCUGCGUCCUAUUAGUUAGUUGGUGAGGUAACGGCUCACCUAGGCAAUGAUAGGUAGGCGGCCUUAACGGGUGGUCGCCCACACUGGGAUUGAGAUACGGCCCAGACUCCUACGGGAGGCAGCAGUCGAGAAUAGUCUACAAUGGUCGGAAGACUGAUAGUGCGACGCCGCGUGAACGAUGAAUCCCUUCGGGGUGUAAAGUUCUUUUAUAUGUGAGCAGUGCUUCUUAUAUUAACAGUAUGGGGAGAGAGAUAUUAGCAUAUGAAUAAGCAACGGCUAACUCCGUAGCCAGCAGCCGCGGU
rnacentral:rRNA from 1 species